UGAGGAAUAUUGGUCAAUGGGCGAGAGCCUGAACCAGCCAAGUCGCGUGAAGGAAGAAGGAUCUAUGGUUCGUAAACUUCUUUUGCAGGGGAAUAAAGUGCGGGACGUGUCCUGUUUUGUAUGUACCCUGAGAAUAAGGAUCGGCUAACUCCGUGCCAGCAGCCGCGGUAAUACGGAGGAUCCGAGCGUUAUCCGGAUUUAUUGGGUUUAAAGGGUGCGUAGGUGGUUUUAUAAGUCAGCGGUGAAAGUUUGCAGCUUAACUGUAAAAAUGCCGUUGAAACUGUAAGACUUGAGUGUAAAUGAGGUAGGCGGAAUGCGUGGUGUAGCGGUGAAAUGCAUAGAUAUCACGCAGAACUCCGAUUGCGAAGGCAGCUUACUAAGCUACAACUGACACUGAAGCACGAAAGCGUGGGGAUCAAACA
rnacentral:rRNA from 1 species